rnacentral:rRNA from 1 species
UACGUAGGGACCUAGCGUUGUCCGGAAUCAUUGGGCGUAAAGCGCGCGUAGGCGGCCCGGUAAGUCCGUUGUAAAAGUCGAAGGCUCAACCUUCGAAAGCCGAUGGAUACUGCCGGGCUAGAGUCCGGAAGAGGCGAGUAGAAUUCCUGGUGUAGCGGUGGAAUGCGCAGAUAUCGAGAGGAACACCGGUGGCGAAGGCGGCGAUCUGGACGAUGACUGACGCUGAGACGCGAAAGCGUGGGGAGCAAACAGG